AGAGGAAGGAGAGAUCAUGGCGGACGGGAGGCAAGACUAGCCUGCAGCUCUGGACAGAGCAGCGAGUGGGAGCUCGCAUUGUAAACUUUAGCUCCAGAUGGACGGCAAAAACAAACCAGCAAUCCCCAGAGGACCCACAGACCCUCUGAAGGAAGUGGGCUGCUCCUGCAGGACCCGGGAGACCCCCAAAACUGUGAGUGUCCAGCUGCCGAAGUGGGAAAGGGAAACCCUCCUCUCCGGAACAGACACCCCCUGAGAAGUCUAUUUGUGGGAGAAGUUUCCGACUUUACCUGGAGCUGAGUCAGUCUGGAGAGCUGACUGAAAUACAGGGAUAGAGGAGGCAGCAGCAAGGCCCUGGGAGCUGAAUGGGUCCCCGGGCAGCCCAUUCCUGCCUGGCACCACAGGGAUCCAACGGGAGAGGAACAGAGGGUAAAACUACACGGAGAGAAGGAAAUCUCUAGCUGAACUUUGUAACAAUUCGAACAGCGUGAGAAGUCUCCUGGCCAGAACUCGGGGGAGGACACAAAUCUCCUGCACAGUUAAUAUCCAGAGUCACACGUGGAGAGGAAGCAUCACAAUGAGACCAUACAACCAUAUAAUCUGUUCAAGUCCUAGAAGGUGUUGGCAGAGCUGCAGGACUGACCUAGGUCAAUGGCUGUGGGGGAAGAAAAGACACCAGAUGUUUCCGAUCAAGAGACAAGAGAAACAUUCAGCGUGACCCUAGAAAAUCUUUCUAAAGAGAUUUCACAACACUCAGCUCAUGUUUCGGGUCCAUGAAACCAUCUUUAGAUGAAUGAUGCCUUGUUACCUGUGAGAGGAAGUGAGCAGCGAGGAGUCCUGUCAGUUCCGGAAGGAGUAUUUGGGUUACUGUUCUUCAUUGUCUGCAGUUCUACAAGGUCUUGCUCAGUCGCCCAGGCUGAAGUGCAGUGGUGUGAUCAUAGCUCACUGCAGCCUCAACUUCCUGGAGUCAAGCAAGCCUCCCACAUCAGCCUCCUGAGUAGAUUGGAGACCUGUUGUGUGUUACCUUUGGAAGGUUUUCCACAGUUGAGAUCCAGUUGCUCCAGCAUCAUUUGUUGAGUGGUCUCUCUUCAUCCACAGAGCUCCAGAGUGUCUCCUCUUACAGGACUUCUACACGUUGGGCACAAAUUUCAGCAUGGCGUUAAGAAGAACUUAGAGUGAACACUCAGAAACUGGCUCCUGAACGAAUCCGGUUCCUUCAGAACUCCAGCAUGCCCCCCUGGGUGACCUAUGUUUUCUGGAAAGCGGUUCUACAAAGCUGUGUUUUAGAGGAGGAAUCUUACUGGCAGACAGGAUUUGGCUUUGUUUAGCUAUCCGUACUGUUUCUGCAACACUUGCUUUUGCUACUGAAAGGAGUUAUGCGGUUUGCAACCUAAAACCACCACACUGAUUGUCAGUGGUGACUUUCUGAGUGACUGACGCAAGGUGGACCCUCAAAGAGACCUGAGGUACUUGUUGGCCGAUUUACCUUCACAUCAUAACGCACGCAGAGUGAACACCUCACAUGCAAGUACAGCAAGAAACCCCAUAUACCAGUGGGAAUGUUGCCACAAUGUCUCCCAUGACAGCGGACAGACCUGGAGCCGUGCAUUCUUUGGGGAGGAAUCGGCUCCUUCCAUUGGAGCUGUAGGAUCUCUCCCCUCUCACCAGGUCUCCCACACACGCACUUUUGCCCCUAGAGGGGCCUACUUGAAGCUCACGUCUUCAGUGUGCAGUGUGUCCACGCUCACAGUCCGCAGUGCUUCCUCUGAACUCUGGGAGCAAGUCUUUGCACAAAAAAGACACUUGGCUGACAGCAUCCGGAAAUCACCUGCAAUCCCAAAGCCUCCGGAAUGCACCUGCAAUCCCACAGCGUCCGGAAUGCACCUGCAAUCCCACAGCAUCUGGAAUGCACCUGCAAUCCCGCAGCAUCUGGAAUGCACCUGCAAUCCCACAGCAUCCGGAAUGCACCUGCAAUCCCACAUCCAUAGCAUCUGGAAUGCACCCGCAAUCCCACAGCAUCCGGAAUGCACCUGCAAUCCCACAGCAUCCGGAAUGCACCCGCAAUCCCACAGCGUCCGGAAUGCACCUGCAAUCCCACAGCAUCCAGAAUGCACAAUCCCACAGCAUCCGGAAAGCACCUGCGAUCCCACAGCAUCUGGAAUGCACCUGCAAUCCCACAGCAUCAGGAAUGCACCUGCAAUCCCACAGCAUCCAGAAUGCACCUGCAAUCCCACAUCCACAGCAUCCGGAAUGCACCCGCAAUCCCACAGCAUCCGGAAUACACCCGCAAUCCCACAGCAUCCGGAAUACACCCGCAAUCCCACAGCAUCCAGAAUGCACCUGCAAUCCAACAGCAUCCGGAAUGCACCGGCAAUCCCACAGCAUCCGGAAUGCACCCGCAGCCCCACAGCAUCCGGAAUACACCCGCAAUCCCACAGCAUCUGGAAUGCACCCGCAAUCCCACAUCCAGAGCAUCCGGAAUGCACCCGCAAUCCCACAGCAUCCGGAAUGCACCCGCAAUCCCACAGCAUCCGGAAUGCACCCGCAAUCCCACAGCAUCCGGAAUGCACCCGCAAUCCCACAGCGUCCGGAAUGCACGUGCAAUCCCACAUCGACAGCGUGUUUUCUCACUGUCCCUGGGGAUUCCAAGCCACUAGCCUCUGUUCCCACAGGAAAGUCUCUUUUUUGUCUCUCCUUCAAUUCUAUGAUUAUAUUCACGUUGAAAUAUAUCAACUUUAAAAAACACUUGUAUUGUGACAUAUCAGUUCUCAUACCUGUAAGGACAGCACUCCUAUCAGAAAUAUGAAUAUUACUUGUGAGUGUGACAAAUAAACAUAAACUCAAGAGUAGGUCUUUUCAAAUACAUUCUAGCUAAAAAAAAAAAAAAAAGCUAAAUGAACAUGCAGACCUCCAUGAAGAAUAAACAGCUGGCAAGAGAAUGUGUGAGCAGGGAGGGGCUCUUUAAUAUGAAUAAAAGGCUCAGUGGACUCACAAUGGCUGUUUGCAAAUACACGAAGGCACUCCGUAUAGAUCAGAGUCAGGAAUUGUUUUAUUAGGCCUAGAGAGAUAGAGCUACCAUCAAUCACUGGAUAUAAGUCACAUAGGAAGCCUGGCACAAAGUAAAAAUGUUCAAACAUGAAAUCAGCUGUCUCUGGGGCAAUGAGCUGUCACUACAGUUAUUUGAUGUUAGCUGGGCAUUGACUUGUGAGAAUAUUAUCAAGAAAAUUCAACUGCAGGUAGUCCUGAGUGAUGUCCAAUGUCCACUCCAGCAAUGGAACGAAAUGACAAUGACUACGCUGUGGUUUCCUCGGAUAUAGACGAAAUACAUCUGCUGAUAAACACAGGCUCCCAUACGUUUAAUGAUCAAUCCAGGCCUGCCUCCAGUAACAAACAGCAGAUCUUCAAAGACCAGCCCGGACACAGACAGCCCAGAAUUUAGGCCAUGUUCUUUGAAUAUCUACAAUAUUACAAAAUUCCAGUGUAGCUCACUGAGUCAGUGUGUGUGUAUAAAAUUAAAAAUGCAAAAAUUAUUUUUUCUGGUUCAGGGAUUUCUGUGAUAAAUGUUUUUCUUUUUAAAUAUGAACAGUAAGUCGAACAAUAAAUAAAUGUAAUAAGACAAGAGUAAGAGCCUUCUACUUGUGUAAAGACUUUGUGCUAGGAAGGUGUGUAGCCGCCUCUACAUAUUCAAUUUUAACUUUCUCUUAUUGUUUCUUGAAGGACAGGACUGCAGAGCUCACUGUUUAAGGGUGACUAUGCUCUCCUGUCCAUUCAUUCAUGGAGACCUGAGUUUUUCUCUAGGGACAUAUUAAAGUAGCCUGGAGUUAGAACAGCACAAACCCUUCAAAAAGUGGUAAAUUUCUCAGCGGAUUCCACAGUUGUCAUGAAUGUGAUUAAUAGGUGAUCAAGGCUCACCUCUUCAUCUGGAGCUACCUAGACAAGCAGAAAGGGAAAUUCUAUUUCCAGCUCCUAAGCAAAUAAGUAACUGAAAACAUUUAAUUUCUGGGAGAUCUUACAAGCAGGGCCACUCUAAAAUGAACACUGGGGAGUCAAAAAAAAAAAAAAAAGGAAAAUGACUGCUCCUUACCUGCACCAAUGACUCGGGUGAUGCUACCCUUGAAGAUUCCGUUGGUCCUGAUCCAACAGAACAUAGAGAGUGACACUGUGUAUCUUCUAUGAAGAAGCUAGCACAGUGUGGAAAAUUGGCCUUACAAAAAUGUGUCAUGUUCAUUACUUUUAAUUAAGGAAUUAAAUUAUGUUUUAAUUUCCUGGGGUUUAUCACACACUUAUUUAAUAGUAAAUUAUAUUAUUACCAGGAUUCAUGGUGUGGUGUGUGUGUGUGUGUAUGUGUGUGCAAAGUAGGAAACAUGAGAGAUAAAUGUAAUUUAAGCAUAGAAUGAAAUAAAAAUGUGUUACAGAAAAAAUGAA
rnacentral:lncRNA from 1 species